UGACGUUGUUGCACUCCACUCCAGCGGGUGGCGAUAGUACAUCUAAUACGCUAUACAGCCAUGACACGUUUUUUUUAAUUUAUUUUUGUUUUACUGUACCAAGCAACAACAUUGGCUAAUUAGCUAGCAACAAACUAUAAUUAUCUAGAAUGUCUAAAAUACAGCUGUUGAGAGGGUUUCUCAACCAGCGAUUAACAGCGGCUGCUGAGGAGAUAUUCGAGGUAGUUGAACAAACGAUAGCAGAGUACCAGGAAGAAUGUUUCCGUACAAAGGAGGAGAACGUCCGUUUACAGAAGCUGCUGGAUAUCGUCAUUAAACCUGUAAUAAAGUUACAUCGAACAGACCUGCCAGCAGUUCAGCUGCAGUCACAGCAGUCCUCUGUGGUAUUUAAUUUACCAGCUGCACCAGAUCCUGCUACACUGGCCGUGAAGAGAGAAACUUUUGAGGAGCCCCUAAUAGAUACAGAUAAUUCACAAUGAUAUUACAUACUCAUGUUUUCACUCAUUCUCUCACUCACUCACAAACACGUUGUUGAGCUGUAUAUUCAUUGUCACUUUGUGCAUCUCUCUUUUAGAUCUGCCCUGCACUCCACUGCCCCUGAGCGCCUCUUCCAGAAGUACACGUACUAGGCUUAUUAAGGCUGGCUCCUCACUGAACACCAGCCCUGAGAAGCUCCUCCAGACACCACAACUGUGGCUAACUGUGGCUAACUGUGGGAAGUGACACAGUCAGUGUCCCAGUCACAGCCUUGCCACCUGCUGUUGUCAAUCCACCAUCCUUGUCAACCCAAGACAUCCCUCUGACUAAAGAUGAGAGGAUGGUCCUGGGCAUCUUGGAGAAGCAGCAACCGCAGCUAGAUGGGCCACAACAAGAACAGUGGAAGCAGCAGAAGCAGACAAAAACAUGUAUUUCCUGUGGUCAGGCCAAGUCCCAAUACCGCAAGAAUGGUUUGUCUGUCCACUUUUUCUAUCAGCGUGGACAGGUGAGGUAUUUUUACUGUUCCACCAAGGUCUUCCAGACUUAUGGUGCAGAGGGCCUCACAAACCCCAAAAUGUAUUUUGAUGACUUUGCUUCCACUGAAUUCUUUCAGGGUGAACUUAAAGCCACAAAAGAACGUGUGGCACAAAAGAAGACCAAAACGAAGUCAGCUGAUCUGCAACCCUCUAGGCAUAUGUGCAGGUUUUGUCAUCUGCAGAUGAAACAAGGCCCCAACAGCCCUCACAUACACACAGGGUUCCCAGGAGUGACAGGCAAAUAUGUUUAUUGUCCUGCAAAAGUAUUUUCGAGGUACCAAAGCCAAGGAAUGGAAAGAAAGAUGACCUGGAGGGAGUUCCUGGUCUCAGCUUUUUAUGAAGCGGAAAAGCAGAGAUGGGUAGCUAACAAGAACAAAUAAAACAACAUUCUCUUUCUCUCUCACACACACACUAGCCCCAAUGUAUAAAAAUUGUAAUACCUUGUUUAUUUUAUGUAUGCUCCAUUUUAUUUGAAGAUUGGAGAUAUCUGGGCCUACAUAUCCAUUAUACAUAUCUAAAUAAUUACUCAAUAUCUAUCAAAUCAAAAUGUGAUUUGUAAUACAGUAUUGCUUGUUAAUGUGUACAGUUCUUGGGAAAAUUCUGUGUGGUUUUGUCUGAGUUGAACAUUUUCUUCCCUCGGUGUGCAAUAAAAGUGCAUUCAUAUUAAAUUACCGCUUUUGGAUUGUGUUUUUAAGUAAAAUACUUGUGGUAUUGGUGCAGAGUUCCAGUGCAGCUCUCUACAGUGCAGUUAAAAAAGCUAUAGGUG
rnacentral:lncRNA from 1 species